ACAGACAAAAAAAGCAAUCAUAAAGCAUAAAAUAUCUUAUUUCUGAGUGAAUAUUAUCAUGAGUAUUGUACUUUGCAUUUUGUUUUUUACCAUUUUGACAAAUGAUGGUGUCCAAAAGUACAUACAAUAAGCUUCAGCUUUUUGUAUUUAUUUUAAUUCAGUUAAAUUUACAACCCCAAUUCCAAAAAAGUUGGGACACUACAUAUUGUGAACAAAAACAGAAUGCAAUGAUGUGGAAUUGUCAUGAUGGAAAAUGCAAGAUCUUCCCUGAAAGAGAUGACGUCUGGAUGGGAGCAUAUGUUGUUCUAGGACUUGGAUAUACCUUUCAGCAUUGAUGGUGCCUUUCCAGAUGUUCUGGAUGACAUGGCGUCCCAGUUUUCCAAAAAGGACUUAAAAUUUUGAUUCGUCUGACCACAGAACAGUUUUCCACUUUGCCACAGUCCAUUUUAAAUGAGCCUUGGCCCAGAGAAAAUGCCUGCGCUUCUGGAUCAUGUUUAGAUAUGGCUUCUUUUUUGACCUAUAGAGUUUUAGCCACCAUGGGGAAUGGUACGGCGGAUUGUGUUCACCGAAAAUGUUUUCUGGAAGUAUUCCUGAGCCCAUGAUGUGAUUUUCAUUACAGUAGCAUUCCUAAGGGCCCGAAGAUCACGGGCAUCCAGUAUGGUUUUCUGGCCUUGACCCUUACGCACAGAGAUAGUUCCAGAUUCUCUGAAUCUUUGGAUUAUAUUAUGCACUGUUGAUGAUGAUUACUUCAAACUCUUUGCAAUUUUUCUCUGAGAAACUCCUUUCUGAUAUUGCUCCACUAUUUUUCGACGAAGCAUUGGGGUAAUUGGUGACCCUCUGCCCAUCUUGACUACUGAGAUUCACUGCCAGUCUGAGAGGCUCUUUUUAUACCCAAUCAUGUUGCCAAUUGACCUAAUAAGUUGCAAAUUGGUCCUCCAGCUGUUCCUUACACGUACAUUUAACUUUUCGGGCCUCUUAUUGCUACCUGUCCCAACUUUUUUGAAAUGUGUAGCUCUCAUGAAAUCCAAAAUGAGGCAAUAUUUGGCAUGACAUUUCAAAAUGUCUCACUUUUAACAUUUAAUAUGUUAUCUAUAUUCUAUUGUGAAUAAAAUAUAAGUUUAUGAGA